rnacentral:misc_RNA from 1 species
UGGACGUUGUCGUGUCAAUACGACUCGUCUCAAAUGUAUGAGUGUGACCUGCCAUGCAGUGUUAACCAGUGUGAUAAGUAUCUUCACUGUAAGCCUCUCAAGGCGCACUGUUGGUGUUUGGAUCCACGCUUCAAACCGUCUCUUCAGACAAACCUUGACAAUUUGACCUCAAAUCGGGUGGGACUACCCGCUGAACUUAA